GACAGAGGGUGCAAACGUUGCUCGGAAUUAUUGGGCGUAAAGCGCACGUAGGCGGUUCGUUAAGUCGGAUGUGAAAGCCCUCGGCUCAACUGAGGAAGUGCACCCGAAACUGGCGAGCUUGAGUACGAAAGAGGAUCGCGGAAUUCCCGGUGUAGAGGUGAAAUUCGUAGAUAUCGGGAGGAACACCGGCGGCGAAGGCGGCGAUCUGGGUCGAUACUGACGCUGAGGUGCGAAAGCGUGGGGAGCAAACAGG
rnacentral:rRNA from 1 species